UUACGAGAAAAAAAACAAACUGCUCUUAAAAAAGAGAUUAAGUCUGUGGUAUGUAAUCGAUUAGUGGAGUUGAAUGUGCUUGUGUUGCCGGAGAACGCUACAGUUGGGGACAGUGUGGAGGUGGAUACUUUUGGUAGGAGUGAGAAUGUGAGUGAGGAGGACCUAACGCCUAUGGUGGAGGCUGAGGCUAGAGAGGGGUUGCCUCCAUUUGAACCAUUCUCCCCUAUGUCUGUUUGCUCAAAAGAGGAAACGAGACUUAAGGUCCGUUUGGCCCGUUUGCAACUUGACUCGAAGGAGAAGGUGCAGGCUCGGCAGGCGGAGAUGAAUUUGCGGUUACAAAUUCGUAAAUUUGAAAUCGAGGCGGAGACGCAGGUAAAAAUGCGACAGCUGGAGCUUGACGCAAUGCGAAUUGUGGGAGGGUCCGCUGUGCUACCAGAUCUCCCUCGAGUUAGUCCCGCUGCCACUGACCGUUCUCCCAUUGUAGUGCCUACUCCUACUGUUGCCCCAACGUCUGCUUCAUCCGUAACAGAGUCAUUCGAUGUUGGUAAAAAUAUCACCCUAGUGCCACAUUUUCGUGAGACUGAGGUAGAUUCAUACUUUAGUGCCUUUGAGCGCAUUGCUAUGUCUUUUCGGUGGCCAAAAGAAUGUUGGGCUUUGUUAUUGCAAUGUCGCUUAUGUGGUAAGGCAUUGGAGGUUUUCUCUACCCUUUCCUUGGAGGACAGUUUGAGCUAUGACGCUGUAAAAUUAGCAAUUCUACGUGCCUACGAGUUAGUUCCAGAAGCAUAUCGGCAGAAGUUUAGAGGCCAUAAGAAGAAUUCUUCUCAAACCUUUGUUGAAUUCUCCCGAGAGAAGGCACUUCUCUUUGAUAAAUGGUGUAGUGCAACUAAAACUGAUGAUUUUAAUUCCUUAAGAGAAUUAGUUCUGCUUGAGGAAUUUAAGGGAUGUUUAUAUAUAUAUAUAUAUAUAUAUAUAUAUAUAUAUAUAUAUAUAUAUAUAUAUAUAUAUAUAUAUAUAUAUAUAUAUAUAUAUAUAUAUAUAUAUAUAUAUAUAUAUAUAUAUAUAUAUAUAUAUAUAUAUAUAUAUAUAUA
rnacentral:lncRNA from 12 species